UUUCUUUCCUUAUUGCUUUUCAGUUUUAACAGUUUCACUUCUACCCAAAGACUAGAGCCUGUAUGAAAAUGCUUUCAGUUCAGCUGGGCCUCUUCCUAUCUUAUCAAAUAACAUUAGCUUACACUCCAUUUAUACCACAUAUAUCCUUAGAAACUCUCUUAGCUUUUAACCUGCCAUGUAGAUUAAGACCUCAUUACAUUUCAUACUGUCUUCGGCAUGAUCAUGUUACCUAAUGUUAAAGAUUUUGAAGCAACAUAAUCAGCACUGAUACAGAAUGAAAGCAGAGGGAUCUUUCAUCAUAUGGUUGCUUGUGGCUUCAUUUGCUAGAAUAUGCUCUCAGUUCGGUCUGCUCUGCAUUGAUGCAUGUGGUCUGUCUGGACAAAGCUAACUGACUGUUUCUGAAUUUAAAUGAACACAUCCAUGCUCAUAGAUCAACCGUGGGUACCUGAUAAUCCAUAAAUGUGUGCAUAUAUGUACAGACAUGUAUGCACAUACAUAUAUUUAUUUCAUAUUUUAUAAUCUUGAAUAAGCACAGGAAUAAAGUUCUUCUACAUUUUUCUGGCACUUCUCACAAAUCUGUAGAAAAAUGUUUUUUUGGAAAGGAAUAACUGAAAUCAAAUUGGGGAAUGCGCUCUUCUCCUGCUUCAGCGUUUGCAUUAUAGCAGCUACAGGCAACUGUUUCUGAGACUGACAUUUUUUAAUUUGAACAGAGUAAACAAAAGAAAUUGCUGUUAGUCCAGUUUUGUUGAUACGUUACAAAAAUACCAAAGGACUUGUUCUGUUUUCUCGAUCACCACUCCCAUCGCAGUGAAUACUUUUGCUACCAAUCCAGACUUCAAAAUCUACUAUCCCGGCAACAUUUCUGGUCCUCUGUCACAGAAAAUCCUGAGAAAGAGUGAAAAAGAGCUCUCAGUCUUAUACAACACAUGUCCCUUGAGGAUAUGAGCAUUUCACAACAGUUCUGUAUUUGCCUUAAAGACAAGUAAUUUAACUGAAAGGAUGCAGUCCAUUGCUGGCGUGCAGAGCAUAGGCAGGAGCUGCCCACAGCAGCAGCAGGAGCACAGAAAUUGAAUUCAAGUUUUCCAGCAGUUUGACCUGGAGGUCUAACAUUUCUUUUCCCAUUUCUCCUCUGGGUGCUCAGCUAAUCAUCCAUAAGUCUUUGUCAGGGCAUGAUGAGACCUCCCUACAGGAGAGCACUGAUCAACAAUCCUUCAAUGCGUUUCUCCACUUACUUUCACUCUUAAAAUGAUUCUUUCUGUUCCAAAGGAUUAGGCAGUGUAAUGACAUCGUAUCAUUUUCCUCUUAGAAGCACCUUGGAUUGACUAUUUUUUGUGAGGGAUAAAAAUAAGGAUGAAAGAGGAACAGAAGAAAGAUCAGCUCUCCACAGAUGCUUGGUAUAAUCUUCUCCUCUGACAAACUGCCCCUCUCAGCUUAUCCCUCCAAACCAAUCUCCUCCCCUGUGCCAAGGAAGAACUACAAACCCAGCAGGAUGAGGCCCUCCCCUGCCUUAGCCCCAAUAGCCACUCAGAGGGCUUCCCCGUGUCACAUCCGCUGUAAACUCCGCCAUGCUUUUCCUGUGUCUGCACAACAUCUCAGCUCAUUAGGGAGACACGAGAUAGCAGAAGGCCCGAUACGGCUUGCUGUGGAUCUCCUGAGCCUGCGAGAUCCUACUUCCCCUAUCACGCAUGCAUGGGACCCUUCACUUUAACCCAGCCAUGCCUUUUGUCUGAAGGGGAGAGACUAUUUAUGAGGAGUCAUACAAAAUAAACAUGAAGAGUUCACCAUAAAAUAUGACAACCACUUUAAAUAAUGUUGACUUAAUUAAACUUUAAACUUUAUUUAUAUAUUUUAUGGCUGUAGUGUGAGCUCUUCUCGGAUGUUUACUUCAGUGAAAAAUCCAUCAUGUGAGGGCCUUGAAAGGAAUUAAUCCCCUUACCCCUGGCACAGAACUCAGCUCCAACAAUUCAGAUCUAAAUAUUUAGUGAUGGAUGAUACAUGUUUAUAGAACAGAGGGCAGCAUGACAUUUAAAUGGGAUCCGGGGUUGCUAUAGUGAGCGUACAUUGUUGAAAAGAAACGGGAAGCUGAAGCCAUGCCAAUUAUCGGAAGCUGAUAAGUCAGCUCCUUUUUGCCUGAUUUUUUUUCCCUUCCAUCUUUCCCUUCUGGGUUUUCAAAGGCUUCUUCACAGAGGGUUAUGAGCAAUUUUCAGAAGGAAAAGUUCUGCUGACUCUUGUACAUUUGGUAGUGCAUCCCAUGGUUAAACUAAUAGCCUUGUUGGGUGUCAGCCAAAGGUUACAGGCCUCUCAAAAUAUUCUUGGAAAAAAAAAGAGUUUAUCACUGAACUGAAGUUUCUCAUUAGUAACCCUCUGUUGUCUAAUCUGUGAAAUUACAUGAUUAACUCUUUUGCAGAGACAGUUUCAGCCAGAGUUUGCAAUCCCACAGGAAGUUAUUAAAAGUAUCACCAAGAUAAUUUCCCUGCUUUGUACUUGGCCCUCAGGGUAAAGGAAAUACAUCAUUAGACGAGUACUUUAUAAUAAAGCUAUAGAUCACUAACAAUUAUUAAAUGGCUGUCAAGAAUGAUUAUUAUUUUAAAAGUUGAGGACUGUGUAAUUUGAAAAACAAAUAAAAAACCUUGAAAGAAAUUACUUCCUUUGUUUUUGUAUAGAAAUUAGAAACAUGCCCUCUCCCCCAUUCUCUUUGAAGUGAUUGGAAUAUAAUCUUCCUCUGUACACAGCCGUCUUACCUUCAACAUUUCUUUUUGCAUCCCUAAAAAUACUCUUAAGGAAAGCAUCAGCUCACUAUUGAGAUGAAAUACCUCAGGGACACAGAGGAUAGCAGGACUUUAUUGCACAUGUUGAGAUGUUCAUGAGCUGUGAACUCCGGAUGCUUCAAGUCACUGAAGCAGAGGUGGUGGUCCUUGGAUUUUGGUGAAAGUUGAACUCAGGGAUAUUUUGGACACAGAAUACUUUCCAAUCAUGUGUUCUAGCUGAAGUCACUUGCAGAUGUUUUUCAUGAUUUGUUGUGCUUGUUUCUGGCUUCCUUAUGAGCUCCUCCCAGAUCAAUGGGUGCUUUGGUUUGCAUGUUUUGGGAGGAGGGGUGACAGUUAGGAUCUGUAUUAUCCUCCCCAGCUAGUUACCAAGGCUUUUAUUAUUAUUAUUAUUAGUAGUAGUAGUAUUAGUAUUAGUAUUAUUAUUUUAUUAUUGUUAGUGGAAAAGUGGUGAGAAGGAGAUGCCAGCCAUGCCUACACAGACAUCCAGGCUGUGAGAGUGAUCCUGUGAUGCAGUUGUCCUGCAGGGAUGGUGGUGGGAGAUCCAGAUGGAUCACGUGAAAGUCGUUAGAGGUUUGAAAGAUGUGAAGCAUUUGGAACCAUGAACCAAGAAGGGCUUUUCUGGUACUCAAAUUACAUCGAGCCAAACAAUUCUGCACUACAGACAUCAGCUUUAUAGCCAUCAGAAAACAGAUGGAAUUCAAAAUAUAGUAAAUUUGUUCCUCUGAGCAACUAUAAAAUGAAGACGGGUACCAUACACCUGUAAGAAAAAAGUAUUCAUAUUCCUGUGAUAAAUCAGCUCUUUCAUCCAAGUUGAUUUUAGGAAUUAACCACACAUCCUCACAGCUCAGCAUUCAUGGUUUCAUCUCAUUAUGGUGCCUCAGUAUGACUAAUGCAUGCAUGCAGUAUCACCUAGGAGAGCUGAAAUCUAGUCUCAGCUGCAUAAAUGUUCUAUCAGGUCAAGUGAUUUGAUCUUUUUAGGCCACGUUAUUUCUUUCCCUAAUAACUUCUUCCUGACCUUAUGUAAGCCAUGAUCUCCUAAGAGAGAAGUCAGUAAACUGUAUAAACACAAAAUACAUUCAUACAUUUUCAAUAUACACAUAAUUUUUGAAGAAUUAGAAUUUAGAAUGGUGCUGUUCCUCACAACAUUUCAUAUCACUUUCAUUGGUUAAAACUGGUAUCAUUUUAAGUGUUUAAAAUAAAAUUCACUCAUAUCUGCUCAUUCUUAUUUUUGAAAAGUGAUCUGAGAAUGGCCUGGAUUAAUUCUUAAUCCUUUCAAAGCUUAACCUAAGAUCUACAUGUCCAGCACUUUUCAUGAAGUUUAAAUAGGGGAGGAAACUUUGUCUAAUUUGGUGUAUUCCUCUAGUUCUAGUUUCUAAAAAUAAAAUGACUGGAAGCCAUCCGUGCAAGAUACGGUAACUCAGGCUCUGUAACCUUGCAUGAUCUGCAAAUGGAAGAGAAUUAAUUUUUGUGGCAAUUUGUAGUAAAGAAAGGAGAGAGAAAAUUUUCUCUACUGUCAUUAGCUGAUUUAAAAAGAGUUGACUUUUUAUUCUUUCUGCAGAAAAUCUUCAGACACAAAAAAAUCUGGAAUAUAUUCAAAGUUCUUCUGCCUAAAUAAAUUCAACCUAAAUCUUUUGAGGUUACUUUAUUACAAAGGGUGAGGCCUGAAUUUCAACAUGAGGUGAAAACCUUUGAAGAUCCAUCAGAUCUCCAGAGGAGUACUACAGGAUUUGCAAAAGGGAGCUCAGAGAAAUACAUUCCCAAAUAGAAAGUUUUAGCUGUCUAUGCAGGUAUCCAUAAUUCCAUGGAAAAACUUACAGGAGUCUGCAGACUGUAAAACACUGAACAUACUGACAUACAUGCUGCGUGCAUAUCUUCAGAAUAGAAAAGCAUUACUAAAAAAACCUACAAAUGUUAAUACAAAAUCUUUCAGUCGUGGCUCUGUCUUUGAACUGGGAUUUUAUAGCAUAGAUCUCUGAAACUGUACAAGAUAACCAAAUGUGCACUUCAGAGCAGAUCAGAAAAACAGUAUCUAUCAACACAAUUCUGAUUUGGGGGAUGAAUUAAGUAUGCAAUUUUCUUCCUGCAGUUUCUCAUUCUCAGGAGUUGUACUCUCACUGAAGUUGUGAAACAAUGGGGAAACAUUAAUUCAUAUAAUUAGAGAUAUUGCAACUUUAUGCAUGCGAGAGAAUCAAUGUAAUUAGAGACCAGGAAGACAUCGGUUCUUGCAGAUGAAUGUUUCCAUCAACACACAGAGCAGGUAAUACCUCAUUCUGCCGUUAUCUACUGUGCAUCUGAUACUUCCAAGAGAUAUAUAUAAGUGUACUUUUGAUUUUACUGUUGUUUACAUCUUUAGAUCUCUGGGAGUAGCUGUUGUUUUGUUUUCUUCUCAAAACCAGUUUGAUGCAGCUGACAAUUGAGCUUCUUUCUGCACUAGUGACUCAUUUUCCUUCUUUCUCUACUGAUUUCCCUUACCUCUAUCAUGCAAGAAAAAGGUCACACAGGUAGAAAAGAUAGCUCCAGCAUCUGAUCAAAGUUGUAUUUUAGAUCACAACAUAACUCUUGCAGGAGAAAUCUUGUGUAACUCUCUUUUCACUAAAAAAAAUAUGGCCCCAUUAUAUUUAAAUUACUUUUAUUGGUUCCCAUUCUAUUUUGAGAGAUGUUGGCCCUGGUUGUUUGUGUCCAAAAUGCAAUUUAAUCAUCAGCCAGUGAAAGAUUAUGAUCUGUAUGUAUUCGUGGCAUUUGCAAAACAUGAUGAUAACUCUAUAUUGCCUCUUCUGGGAAGACGGAAGAAAGCUCUCCUCUGGAGAUGGAUGUUUCCAACAACAUCUCCCUUCCCUGCCACCAAGUGGCUGCUUUGCAUCGCUGGAGGCAGUAGGAAUACAGCAGAUUGCAACUCAAGGAGAACCUCUCAUCUUCUCAUCACUCUGCUUCAGGUUUAGAGGUCAGAGUUUCCCUCCACAGCAUUCUUGUCUUGACAAAUGAUCGUUGCAGCAACUAGACAGUGGUUCCUACAAGAAGAAUGGCUCACCAUCUAUUUUGACAGAAGACCUGGAAAGAACAUGUAGCAUUAGUAAGCCAGAUGAUACAAGGUCUGAGAUAAACCAGCAAACAUACUAAUGAAGACAAGAACUGUCCUGAGGAAAUACCUCCUAUUAGUUAAUAAGCAGACACAGUGGUCUGGAUUAGGAAGGAACAUGACAACAUUGUUGAAAAUGAAGAUGUGUAUCCUCAGUGAAGCCAAUGAGUCCACAGAAGCCAGGACUGUGUAACCUGCUGCUGCACAUCAGGAUUCCAGAAGAGGAAAUGAACACUACGAAUAGUGAGAGCAAUAAUACACAAGGGGCCUACUUUACUGCUAUUGUUUCUUCUUCUGUAAUACCCCUGGUGAGUUUUCAGAGAUGGCAGGGAGCAAGUGCAACCAUAGUGCAAGUGAAAUUACCAUCCUUACUAUUGACCAAUGAUAGGAGAAAACCUCACAUCAAGAAUGUGCUCAAGUCAUCCAAGAUCAAAUGAAGACUAUCAGAUGAAUAGUUAUUACACUCCUCCCAGGAGCAAAUGAGAGAUGGGAACCCUCAGGAUGGGCAGAGCCAUCCAUGCUGAACACUUGCUGUCUCCAGCCUUGCACAAAAUUAAUGUUACAGACGGAUACCUAUGUUUCUAAAGCCUCGAUGCUGCUAUACUUUAAUAUCUUGAACUAAAUUAAUGGGUGAGACAGCAAAAACAGCCCAACAUCCUUCUUUCCCUUUCUUCUUCCUCUCAAAAAAACACUUAUUUUGGAGUGAAAUAAGAUUAAAACUUGUGUUUCAGUGGAGCUUACCUGAAGCAAGAACAUAUUAGAACUUCUCCAGAAUAAUAUUUCCAUCUUAAGACAUCUAAAAAUGUUAAUUAUUGGACAUUAAUAGCCGGAAAUAUUGCAAAAUAAAAUUGUUAAAAGUCAAAGUUAUGUCAACAAUAAUUACUUUGCUGUCCAGGUAUUAUUCAAGCUUACCAGAAACCUCAAUAAACAAAUAAAAAC
ensembl:lncRNA